AGGCCCUUUCGGGGGUACUCGAGUGGCGAACGGGUGAGUAACACGUGGGUGAUCUGCCCUGCACUUUGGGAUAAGCCUGGGAAACUGGGUCUAAUACCGAAUAUUUCUUGCUGGUCGCAUGGUCUGGUGGGGGAAAGCUUUUGCGGUGUGGGAUGAGCCCGCGGCCUAUCAGCUUGUUGGUGGGGUGAUGGCCUACCAAGGCGACGACGGGUAGCCGGCCUGAGAGGGUGUCCGGCCACACUGGGACUGAGAUACGGCCCAGACUCCUACGGGAGGCAGCAGUGGGGAAUAUUGCACAAUGGGCGCAAGCCUGAUGCAGCGACGCCGCGUGGGGGAUGACGGCCUUCGGGUUGUAAACCUCUUUCAGUACCGACGAAGCGUAAGUGACGGUAGGUACAGAAGAAGCACCGGCCAACUACGUGCCAGCAGCCGCGGUAAUACGUAGGGUGCGAGCGUUGUCCGGAAUUACUGGGCGUAAAGAGCUCGUAGGUGGUUUGUCGCGUUGUCCGUGAAAACUCACAGCUUAACUGUGGGCGUGCGGGCGAUACGGGCAGACUGGAGUACUGCAGGGGAGACUGGAAUUCCUGGUGUAGCGGUGGAAUGCGCAGAUAUCAGGAGGAACACCGGUGGCGAAGGCGGGUCUCUGGGCAGUAACUGACGCUGAGGAGCGAAAGCGUGGGGAGCGAACAGGAUUAGAUACCCUGGUAGUCCACGCCGUAAACGGUGGGUACUAGGUGUGGGUUUCCUUCCUUGGGAUCCGUGCCGUAGCUAACGCAUUAAGUACCCCGCCUGGGGAGUACGGCCGCAAGGCUAAAACUCAAAGGAAUUGACGGGGGCCCGCACAAGCGGCGGAGCAUGUGGAUUAAUUCGAUGCAACGCGAAGAACCUUACCUGGGUU
rnacentral:rRNA from 1 species